GCUGGCGGCGUGCCUAUACAUGCAAGUCGAACGAACUCUGGUAUUGAUUGGUGCUUGCAUCAUGAUUUACAUUUGAGUGAGUGGCGAACUGGUGAGUAACACGUGGGAAACCUGCCCAGAAGCGGGGGAUAACACCUGGAAACAGAUGCUAAUACCGCAUAACAACUUGGACCGCAUGGUCCGAGUUUGAAAGAUGGCUUCGGCUAUCACUUUUGGAUGGUCCCGCGGCGUAUUAGCUAGAUGGUGAGGUAACGGCUCACCAUGGCAAUGAUACGUAGCCGACCUGAGAGGGUAAUCGGUCACAUUGGGACUGAGACACGGCCCAAACUCCUACGGGAGGCAGCAGUAGGGAAUCUUCCACAAUGGACGAAAGUCUGAUGGAGCAACGCCGCGUGAGUGAAGAAGGGUUUCGGCUCGUAAAACUYUGUUGUUAAAGAAGAACAUAUCUGAGAGUAACUGUUCAGGCAUUGACGGUAUUUAACCAGAAAGCCACGGCUAACUACGUGCCAGCAGCCGCGGUAAUACGUAGGUGGCAAGCGUUGUCCGGAUUUAUUGGGCGUAAAGCGAGCGCAGGCGGUUUUUUAAGUCUGAUGUGAAAGCCUUCGGCUAACCGAAGAAGUGCAUCGGAAACUGGGAAACUUGAGUGCAGAAGAGGACAGUGGAACUCCAUGUGUAGCGGUGAAAUGCGUAGAUAUAUGGAAGAACACCAGUGGCGAAGGCGGCUGUCUGGUCUGUAACUGACGCUGAGGCUCGAAAGUAUGGGUAGCAAACAGGAUUAGAUACCCUGGUAGUCCAUACCGUAAACGAUGAAUGCUAAGUGUUGGAGGGUUUCCGCCCUUCAGUGCUGCAGCUAACGCAUUAAGCAUUCCGCCUGGGGAGUACGGCCGCAAGGCUGAAACUCAAAGGAAUUGACGGGGGCCCGCACAAGCGGUGGAGCAUGUGGUUUAAUUCGAAGCUACGCGAAGAACCUUACCAGGUCUUGACAUACUAUGCAAAUCUAAGAGAUUAGACGUUCCCUUCGGGGACAUGGAUACAGGUGGUGCAUGGUUGUCGUCAGCUCGUGUCGUGAGAUGUUGGGUUAAGUCCCGCAACGAGCGCAACCCUUAUUAUCAGUUGCCAGCAUUAAGUUGGGCACUCUGGUGAGACUGCCGGUGACAAACCGGAGGAAGGUGGGGAUGACGUCAAAUCAUCAUGCCCCUUAUGACCUGGGCUACACACGUGCUACAAUGGAUGGUACAACGAGUUGCGAACUCGCGAGAGUAAGCUAAUCUCUUAAAGCCAUUCUCAGUUCGGAUUGUAGGCUGCAACUCGCCUACAUGAAGUCGGAAUCGCUAGUAAUCGCGGAUCAGCAUGCCGCGGUGAAUACGUUCCCGGGCCUUGUACACACCGCCCGUCACACCAUGAGAGUUUGUAACACCCAAAGUCGGUGGGGUAACCUUUUAGGAACCAGCCGCCUAAGGUGGGACAGAUGAUUAGG
rnacentral:rRNA from 2 species